UGGCUCAGAUGGUAAAGCGGCUGCCUGCAAUGCAGGAGACCGGGGUUCGAUCCCUG
rnacentral:tRNA from 1 species